rnacentral:rRNA from 1 species
UACGUAGGGCGCAAGCGUUGUCCGGAAUUAUUGGGCGUAAAGAGCUUGUAGGCGGUCUGUCGCGUCUGCUGUGAAAAUCCGGGGCUCAACCCCGGACUUGCAGUGGGUACGGGCAGACUAGAGUGUGGUAGGGGAGACUGGAAUUCCUGGUGUAGCGGUGAAAUGCGCAGAUAUCAGGAGGAACACCGAUGGCGAAGGCAGGUCUCUGGGCCACUACUGGCGCUGAGAAGCGAAUGCAUGGGGAGCGAACAGG